UAUAGGCCCACAGUGAUGGUAAAAGUGGUCCAUGGAUUGAAGGUUCUGAAAUGGACCUGUACUGUAGAUGGCAUGGUGAUGUGAUAGACAGAAUACAAAAGCCUUGAUUCUGCUAUUGAGAGCUUGGCAUGGUACCUUAUACCUUGAAAGACUUAAUGUCCUUCCCCAAGGAGAAUUAAAAGCCUGAGCUCCUCAUAUCCACAACCCUUUGAGGCUGCCAUCUUGGAUAUACUUCUGAGAACACUCACGCAGCAGCUCCAAAGAAGGCAAUUAGGAACCAUGUCUCAAUUCCAGGACUUGAUGGGGCCUGACUACCUCAGUGGUUGUCAUACUCCUCAUCCAUCUCUGAAUCUGUGAUACAGGAGCCGAUGUUUUCUUUACUACU